UCACCUUCUAAACGUUUUACCGAAGAAGAGAGUAACGUUUGGCCCUCAAAUAAUAGUUUUGCUUUUCCAUUUGAUAUAUUUUUAUUUAUAUCGACAGUAUUAUUGCUCAUAGUGGCUUCUUCCGGAAAAUAUGACUGAGGAUAUUUUGACCACUCUGAAAAUACUGAUCAUCGGAGAAAGUGGAGUGGGCAAAUCCAGUCUUCUUUUGAGAUUUACAGAUGAUACAUUUGAUCCAGAAAUUGGUGCAACAAUUGGUGUAGAUUUCAAGGUGAAAACCCUUGCUGUGGAUGGAAACCGAGCAAAGCUUGCAAUCUGGGACACAGCAGGUCAGGAACGUUUUCGAACUUUAACACCCAGUUACUACAGAGGUGCUCAGGGUGUCAUUCUGGUGUAUGACGUCACUAGGCGAGAGACGUUUGCGAAGCUGGAUAACUGGUUGAAUGAGCUGGAUACAUACUGUACAAGAAAUGAUCUGGUCAAAAUGCUGGUGGGAAACAAAAUUGAUAAGGAAGACCGUGUGCUUGAGCGAGAAGAGGGUCUGAAGUUCGCUAGAAAACAUUCCAUGCUUUUCAUAGAGGCCAGUGCCAAGACAAGGGAUGGUGUUCAGUGUGCAUUUGAGGAGCUGGUGGAGAAAAUCCUGCAAACUCCAGGCUUGUGGGAGAGCGUGCACAAAACAAGAGGAGUUGCCCUGUCUGAACUCCCUGAGACUGGUCAAGGAGGCUGUGGGGCGUAUUGCUCACUUCUCUAACACAAUUUUUUUUACACAGUUCAGGUUAGAUUAUUUAGUGCUAAUGUAUGCAGGAUAUGUAUACUUUUUUGGCCUAUGUAUCUGUGCAAGCACACAAGCAAAAUUCAAGAACACUCAUGCCUAAAUCAUUAAUCAUUUAACUGGUCCAGUACAUACAAUAUUAGGAUGAUUGCUGAAAAAGAGAUAAGGCUUAGGUUGGGGAACUUUUUAGAAAUUUUUAGAAUUUCACAUUCUAAAAAUUCACUUUUUUUUUUAAUGAAAUACAUUUAAAGAGCUCUAUUGAAGUCAAGCAUUUAUGUUUGGUAGGUGGAUAAAAAAGCUGACUUGCUCCAUUAUACCUCAGAUAAGUUCGCUUCUCAGUUUGUAUAUUUCUCUUAGUGUUUUAUUUUGUUUUGUCCCAGUGCCUGUGUUUCUUAUUUAGGGAGAGGUAAACAUUCAUCAGUCUAACUCGACCUUUCAAACUGCUGGAAUGAGACCUCAGUAGAACACAGAUUUCCAUCAGCAUGCCCUCGCUUGAUGUCUGCAACGUGCGGAACUCCGUUCUUUCUUUAUCUGUCCAUCUUUGGAUCCCACUUUUUCCUACCGUCAGUCACUUGUUAACUCUCUUUCCUCUCUCUCACUACAUGUAUCUGUCUUCAAUUCAGCUCUGUCCCUCUCUACAGAAUAAUAGACUUAUCAAGAUGUUGGAUCUGUUUUACUAUAUUUAUUGACAUGGGCCGCCCACAUAAAAACAUGGUUUUGAAAGGUUUAUAAAUCAAACAGAUUGGCACAAUGCGUCUCUGUUAUAAAUAUAAAAGAAGGUAAAAAAAAAAAAAAAAACGGAAUAACAAGGAAUAGAUUAAGAAGAAAAGCUUAAUCUCUUGGUUUUGGGUGGGAAAUUUUCACCUGCAGACUCAUGGACACAGUAAAACUUACUGUCUUGAUAUGACUGUCUAUCUUAGAGAAAGGAUGUUUUUAAAAAAAAAACUUAGAGUGAGUCAAUAGGGUGUGACUAUAGAUGGCUGGUUUUCACACACAGAGAAAUGGAACAAAAGAAAAAAAGUAGAAAUAGUAAUAAAAAAUAAAUCUAUGACACUAAACAGCAAUGCCAAAUGAAUAUUUCCAUUCUUCUGGUUUAAUCUGGACUAUUUAUUCUGUUAUGUUUGAUUUAGAGAAUCAUCCAAGGGAUGAUUCUCAUUGCUUAAUAACUGUGUGGUAAAAACCUCAGAUACAGCAGUUUCAGAAAGUGUGUGGCACAUGCGGAAGGAAACGCUGGGCUAUAUGCACACCCACAGCCAAUUGACUUAUUUUGAGCAUUUAUGUGUUCCUUUUCACCUGUUUUGAAAAUGUGAAUUAUUGAGCAAUUAUAAAUGUGUCAUGUAGUUUCCAGUAGCAUGCAGUGAAAUCUUCUGUGCUUUUUAUGGCAAUUAUAUAUGUAAUGGUAUAUGCAUUGUCUAUUCACUACAUAUCAAAAUCAUCCCAUAUGAGGUAGUUAAUCACUAUUGAUCUGAGGACUCUAACAAAUUUUGGUUUGGAUUCCCUAAAUAAUCCCAAUUCUCUAUUUUAUUGAUAUUUGCAUGCAGGUUAUUGCUAUUUGUUUUUGUGCAAUAUUGCACACUGUUAUUGCACAGUAAUUACUCUAUGUAAAUAUUUGCUGAUGAUAAUGGUCAUAAAUACAUUGUAAUGUUGA